rnacentral:rRNA from 1 species
AACGAACGCUGGCGGCAGGCUUAACACAUGCAAGUCGAACGCAUCCUUCGGGGUGAGUGGCAGACGGGUGAGUAACGCGUGGGAACGUGCCCUUCAGUUCGGGAUAACCCAGGGAAACUUGGGCUAAUACCGGAUACGUGCGAGAGCAGAAAGAUUUAUCGCUGAAGGAUCGGCCCGCGUCUGAUUAGCUAGUUGGUGGGGUAAUGGCCCACCAAGGCGACGAUCAGUAGCUGGUCUGAGAGGAUGAUCAGCCACAUUGGGACUGAGACACGGCCCAAACUCCUACGGGAGGCAGCAGUGGGGAAUAUUGGACAAUGGGCGCAAGCCUGACCCAGCCAUGCCGCGUGAGUGAUGAAGGCCUUAGGGUUGUAAAGCUCUUUCGUCCGGGACGAUAAUGGCGGUACCGGAAGAAGAAGCCCCGGCUAACUUCGUGCCAGCAGCCGCCGUAA